UACGAAGGGGGCUAGCGUUGCUCGGAAUCACUGGGCGUAAAGCGCACGUAGGCGGAUGUGUCAGUCAGGGGUGAAAUCCCGGAGCUCAACUUCGGAACUGCCUUUGAUACAGUACAUCUGGAGUCCGGAAGAGGAGAGUGGAAUUCCUGGUGUAGCGGUGAAAUGCGCAGAUAUCAGGAAGAACACCAAUGGCGAAAGCAGCUCUCUGGGACGGUACUGACGCUGAGACGCGAAAGCGUGGGGAGCGAACAGG
rnacentral:rRNA from 1 species